rnacentral:rRNA from 1 species
UACAGAGGUCUCAAGCGUUGUUCGGAUUCAUUGGGCGUAAAGGGUGCGUAGGUGGGUCUGUAAGUCAGUGGUGAAAUCUCCGAGCUUAACUCGGAAACUGCCAUUGAUACUAUAGGUCUUGAAUUAUCUGGAGGUAAGCGGAAUAUGUCAUGUAGCGGUGAAAUGCUUAGAUAUGACAUAGAACACCAAUUGCGAAGGCAGCUUACUACGGAUCGAUUGACACUGAGGCACGAAAGCGUGGGGAUCAAACAGG